GGCCUAAUACAUGCAAGUCGAGCGCGCCCUUCGGGGUGAGCGGCGGACGGGUGAGUAACGCGUGGGAAUAUGCCCUUCUCUAAGGAAUAGCCUCUGGAAACGGAGAGUAAUACCUUAUACGCCCUUCGGGGGAAAGAUUUAUCGGAGAAGGAUUAGCCCGCGUUAGAUUAGGUAGUUGGUGGGGUAAUGGCCUACCAAGCCUACGAUCUAUAGCUGGUUUGAGAGGAUGAUCAGCCACACUGGGACUGAGACACGGCCCAGACUCCUACGGGAGGCAGCAGUAGGGAAUCUUAGACAAUGGGGGCAACCCUGAUCUAGCCAUGCCGCGUGUGUGAUGAAGGCCCUAGGGUCGUAAAGCACUUUCGCCAGAGAUGAUAAUGACAGUAUCUGGUAAAGAAACCCCGACUAACUCCGUGCCAGCAGCCGCGGUAAUACGGAGGGGGUUAGCGUUGUUCGGAAUUACUGGGCGUAAAGCGCACGUAGGCGGAUUAGUAAGUUAGAGGUGAAAUCCCAGGGCUCAACCCUGGAACUGCCUUUAAUACUGCUAGUCUUGAGUUCGAGAGAGGUAAGUGGAAUUCCGAG
rnacentral:rRNA from 1 species